rnacentral:tRNA from 2 species
GCCCCUGUAGCUCAAUGGACAGAGCACCGGACUUCUAAUCCGUUGGUUGUGAGUUCGAGUCUCACCAGGGGCG